CAUUUCCAUACAGAUAUGCAAUCUUUACUUUUUGCAUAGCUUCUCAUUCUGCAGUGGACACUUCUUGGAGGAAAAUGUGUGAUUGGCAGAAUUAAACAUGAGCAUAUUCCCCUUUUCUUUUCUCAGGGUACCAACAUCUGUAAUAGAUUUUCUGAGUGUGACAUUUUAGGAUACUUCGUUACAAAAUUGUGUUAGUAUAAAACUAGCUUUCUUUCAACAUAAGAAUUCAGUUAUAAUUACAAAUAUGAAUCCCUGAGUUGCUGUUGUCUGUAACCCUCAAAUUUAUAUAGGAGAUCACAGAACCAACUGAUAUUAAUCCAAAUCUCCCUUCUGCCCUUUUUCAACUCGCUUAAGUGGAAGAAUACAAACAAAAUACUACCGUUAACAUACCCAGAACUAAAUUGUUUAGAUAUCAUUUUGUAGCUGGUCUAUGAAAGGUUUAGUCACAUUGUCAAGGUCACUUAUGUAAGCAACGACAGAUCCAUUGUCCUUCAGAAUACUCACUUUCCUUCCAUUCUGCUACUGUUUCUCAAUUCAGCUUUCAGGCUUGACAGGUAUAUAACUGUCAAGAGCUAGCAAACCAAAAUGGUGAAAUGAUUUUCCUUGUGUGUGAUGAAACUGUUAUGAAUACUGGUGCAAAUUUGGAACCUAUGGCUGGCCUGGAUGCCAAUAUUCUGCUAUGCUGUUCCGAAUAUCUGACUUCCGUUUGACCAGCUGCCACGUUAUGCAGGUACAUUGAUUGGAAGAAACUGAUCCUAAGCCUGCAGCCUAGCUGGAAGGGAGUUAGUGAAAUUUGUUUUCAGCUUUCCAGCCUA
rnacentral:lncRNA from 1 species